UACGUAGGGAGCAAGCGUUGUUCGGAUUUACUGGGCGUAAAGGGCGCGUAGGCGGCAAUUCAAGUCAUCUGUGAAAUCUCCGGGCUUAACUCGGAACGGUCAGAUGAUACUGCUUUGCUAGAGUGCAGAAGGGGCAAUCGGAAUUCUCGGUGUAGCGGUGAAAUGCGUAGAUAUCGAGAGGAACACCUGCGGCGAAGGCGGGUAGCUGGGCCGACACUGACGCUGAGGCGCGAAAGCCAGGGGAGCGAACGGG
rnacentral:rRNA from 1 species